ACUUGUUUUCAGGUCGCCUUUGUUUACUUUGAAAUGGUUAUUUGUUGAAGUGUGCGGCACACUGCAUGUAGACAAUUAUCAAGCAACAUGACCUGUCACCCCGCAAUCACUUUCUUUUUCAAACAAGCUCCAAAUAGCGAUCAACAUUUUGACUCCUAUAUUUAUUCCAAUAUUAUACCACAGUUAAUAAAAUAACUUACUCCUCAAAGUCACGUCAAAGUGAAAGUGUUUUCCCUAGCUCAACAGUGCACUGACGUAAAAAAACAACAAUGUCAUGUACCUGGAGGCAGAAGGCAACACUGAUGUUAAAGUGGUAAAAUACAUUAUUACAGAACUACAUGAUAUUGCGAUUACAUUUUAUUUAACUUAACUAAUAAUAGGCUUAUCGUUUUAAUGCAGCCACAAAACGAACAAAACAAGUUGAAAGGGAGAUCAGCCAAUCAGGGCAAACAAGCUCUUGCCAGAGCAACAAUGUCCAUUACCUAUGCACGUUUGUACAGUAUCGUAAUUUAAUUCACACGACUGCAAGGAAACUACAGAUCAUCCAAGCACUUUGAAAGAUUCAAUUUAACAUCAACUACGAAGAUGCACAUCAGAGUAGAAGGGUAUAUUCCAGGUUUCAGAAGUGAAACAAGGAACGUUUAAGGCAUACUUCACUGCUGUACUUCAGGAAGCCACCAAAACACAAAAAUGGUCAUCUUCAGGACUUCACCCCACAGAAACACAAUUGGUUUGUGUGUGAUGAAAAAAAUAGGAACCCAGUCAAAGUUGCAGACAUAAUGCUGACCCCAUCUCGCCAAAAUCAAGGACAGAAUGCUAUUUUCAUCAAUGAACGAUCCCAAUUGACAUGUGUGCAAAACUUGGCCUUUUGUUACGAUGAGUUUCUUCGUGCUUAGACACAAACAAC